GGGGCGUUAGCUCAGUUGGUAGAGCAUCUGACUUUUAAUCAGGUGGUCGCAGGUUCGAUCCCUGCACGCCCCACCA
rnacentral:tRNA from 5 species